UCGAUAAGCUUGUAGGGGAAAUCAACAGAAUAUUAUUAUUAUUAUUAUUUCUAUUAUUAUUUGAAGAUAAAAAUUGAUAUUUUUUUUUUUAAAUUAAAGGUCAUAUCAGUUAACAGCAUUUAACAAAACACAGUCAUGUUCAUUCUCAAGAGUCAAGAUUUUUACUUUGAUUAAGCUUGACGACAAUUCAUCGUUCCACAGUCUACAAUAUCCUAUAUUCCUAUACUCAUUGGAUUGAUAUAAAAAACGAAAAUAAAAAGAAGCAAUUCUACCGACCGGUUUCUAUUAUAAUUAUUAUUGAAUUUCGAGUAAAUUUCUUGGCUCUUGGUAUCGUCAAGCAACAUAAUAUGUACGUGAAUCGAAAUUGCAAUUGAGUGAAUCUAACUUGCAUGUGUACAGUUGUUUUAUUUUUAAAAAAAAAUACUCGAGUAAAUGCUGAUAAUUUUUUGUGCAACUUAUUAUAAUGAUGAUAGCUGAUUUAUUCGUAUUUCAUAAUCAUCAGAAAAACUGAUAGAGCUAUAUGAUACUCCAAAAAUAAUAUUGAAGAAGCAACAGAAGCUGCUUUCUACAUAUUACAAUUUAUCAUUAUUUUUUUUUCAAUUAAAUUUGAUAAUAAAUAUCAAUUUUUUUAUCAACAGUAAUUAUUUUUUGUAAUUUGUUAUGAGUGAAGAAUCUCUACCAUCUACGAAUGGAGGAAAUGAAGAGCAUGUUGAAUCACAUGGAAUACUAUCAAAGUAUUUCAAAUGGGUACGAUAUGUUUCGGUGGAACCAACAAUGUGGCUUUACAUGAUGGCCUUUAUGACAACAACUGUUAUUGAACAGUCACUUUUCAGCUACAAAGCAUGCAGAGUUGAUCAUAAUUUAACUGAAGAAAUAUGUAGAAAUCUUACAGCAAAUAACGC